rnacentral:rRNA from 1 species
CUAGACCUGAAAUCAGUCGAGGACACCCGCUGAAUUUAAGCAUAUUAUUAAGCGGAGGAAAAGAAAAUAACUAUGAUUCCCUUAGUAACGGCGAGUGAAGAGGGAGGUGCUCAAAGUGAAAAUCGUGGUACCUCUUAUGGUACCGCGAGUUGUAGCCUCUAGAGGCGUUACCAGUGGAGGGGCAGGUCUAAGUUUCUUGGAAC